rnacentral:rRNA from 1 species
UACGUAGGGAGCAAGCGUUGUCCGGAAUCAUUGGGCGUAAAGCGCGCGUAGGUGGCUUCGUAAGUCCGUUGUGAAAGUCAAAGGCUCAACCUUUGAAAGCCGAUGGAUACUGCGGAGCUAGAGUACGGAAGAGGCGAGUGGAAUUCCUGGUGUAGCGGUGAAAUGCGUAGAUAUCAAGCGGAACACCAGUGGCGAAGGCGAGUCCCUGGACAACUCCUGACACUGAGGCACGAAAGCUAGGGGAGCAAACAGG